UUAAAAAACAGAAAAACACAGUAGUACAGCAUGCACUGUUAUCCUCUCUAUUCCAUUACAUUGCCGUCGCUAGCGACAGAAGUCUAUUGGUCGUUAACCAGCAACGUCCGUCGCAAUGAAAUACGUUGGCCUUUCGCUUGUUUAUUCAACCUACGAUUGUUUUUCAUGAAUCUGAAAAUCAAUGGCCCCUGGCUUCUUUUCUUCUUUUCUUACGCCCUUCUCGUUGCCGCCGUUGUGAUCGCUAAUCCUUGUUCUUGUCGGUCCCGUUCACCGCUGCCGUUGUUGGUCCUGCUCUUGCCAUUCUUCUUCUUCAUCUUCUUCUGCUCGCUGCUCCCGUUCUUCCAUCGUGGUUGUUCUUGCUGUGAACACCUGCAAUACAAAUGGAUGUGUACCUCUCCAUAUUCAAACAUCCUGGUCAAGGAAUUGGACAGCCGAAAAAAAGAUAUAUGACAGAAGAAGAAAUUAAAGCAGCUGGUAUCUAUAUUUUGCUGAAUUGCCCUGAAGGGAAACCUUAUAUUGAGUAAGUAUUGGAUGCUUGUAUUUAUUUCAAUCGAGAUUCUAGCCUUUUAAUCCGUGUCCCUUAUCUAAUAACUCCAUCUGUCUUCUUCUUUUUGUAAAGGAUUUAUGUUGCUGAGUUACGGUAAAAUCAACCAAAUAUUGCUGAUCAUGAAGUUGAUGCCGAAUUUGAUAAUGAAUUAUUUGCUUAAAAGUGUCUAUUUUUCUUGGUUCCUUGUUAGUUUUGAUAUUUAAUUGCUAGCUAUUUCAUAGGCACAUGAUCCAUCAAACAACGUCUCCAAUAAGAUCAUGAGGGACAUCGCUCUUGGUCCAUUAAGAAGUGUUUGGUCGUACCCCAGGUAUUAUGUGAAUGGCUACAAAUUUUACACUGAAGGACAUGGUUCUAUUAGAGCUACGAUGAAUAGUGGAGUGUGGGUAAAGGGCUUCAAUUAUAGUGCAGAUGAGAGUAAUUAUUAUGGUCGGUUGACUAAGUUUUAGAGUUGGAGUACCAUGCAUUACCAAUCAAGAGAAUCGUAUUAUCCAAGUGUGAAUGGUUUGAUCCGACACCAAAUGUAGGAACGAAGGUUGACAAUGGCUAUGAGCUUGUUGAGGUGAACCAUAAAAGGAGAUUUAGUAAGUGCGAACCAUUUAUUCUAGCAGUGCAAGCGGAUCAAGUGUAUUUUUGCCCUUACCCUAGCUUUAGAUGCGACAAGGGUGACUGGUGGGCUGUCUGCAAAAUAUAACCUAAGGAUGUGGAAAUUUCAAAAUCAUCCGUAACACCAUGCCAAGAGUAUGACAUAGAUAUGCUUCAAGUUGAGAUUCAGGCAUACGAAGGACCUGGGUUCUUGAAUGUUCCAAGUGAUAUAUCCACAGAUGAUGAGGAAUUUAGCGAAGAUUAUGAGCCCGAUCCAGUAAGGUACUGGCUUUGUGAGACAGGCAGCCCCAACUCAAGUCCCUCCCAUCAUGCUAGGGGCUCUAUAGCUCCUAUCGAGCAUAGCAAACUACUGGCUAAGGAAUUAGAACGAGAGCCAAAUGAACUUUUCAGGAAGACUUGCACCACAAAGUCGGAUGGGCAGCAAUACAUCAAAAAGUAGUCCAAUAUUGCUGAUCGAGUAAAGACCAUGACCGAUAUUGCUACUCAGCCUGAGAAAGGGUCUGUGGAGAAUGAAAUGCAGGAAGAAGAAAAGGCGAAGGUACAGCCUCAGCUCCAAAUUAGGAAUGAGGUAGAGAAUGAAAUGCAGGAGAUGGAUGAGCGGAUAGAGAUGAUAUUUAAAAUAGAUCAAGAUAAUAUGGAACUUCAAGUGUGGAAACCGGCACAUGGCUCCCAGCCUUCUGCUACCAAUCCUUUGGCCACUGAUCAUUUCUCUAAAUGACAAAGGGGACUUAGACCGGACUAGAUUUUAUACGCUAAUAUUUUGUUCGAUGUAUGUCAUUUUCCAUUUUAUCAACUUAACGUUUCUAAAAUAUUUUUUAUUAUAUGCUA